UACGUAGGGUGCGAGCGUUUGUCCGGAAUUAUUGGGCGUAAAGGGCUCGUAGGCGGUCUGUUGCGUCGGGAGUGAAAACUCAGGGCUUAACCCUGAGCCUGCUUCCGAUACGGGCAGACUAGAGGUAUGCAGGGGAGAACGGAAUUCCUGGUGUAGCGGUGAAAUGCGCAGAUAUCAGGAGGAACACCGGUGGCGAAGGCGGGUCUCUGGGCCAUUACUGACGCUGAGGAGCGAAAGCGUGGGGAGCGAACAGG
rnacentral:rRNA from 1 species